GGCAAAACUGAAUUUCUUAAUAUGGCACAGAAGAACCUUCAGGGUUGGCCUCUGAUCACCGUUUUGUCUCUUCUCUCACUGAGCCCCUUUUUGGACUACAAGUUUCAGCUAUUACGACUUCCCUACAGGUUCCUGAAUAUUCAGCUCUUUCAUAUCUCUAGGCCAGAGGGCGGCAGACAUUUACUUGUAAACGGCCAGAUAGUUAAUAUUUUUGGUUUCCUGGGUCAUGUGGUCUCUGUUGCAACUACUCAAUGCUGCUAUUGUAGUGUGAAAGCAGCCAUGGAAAAAAUAUAAAUGCAUGAGCAUGGCUCUGCCCAAAUAAAACUUUAUUUACAAAAACAGGCAGCAGAUGGGAUUUGGUCCACAGGCUGUAGUUUGUUGAUCUCUGCUUUAGGCUUUUGCUCAUUCUGUGGUCUUUUACUUGUCUACGUUAAACUCCUUUCAUCUGACCAACGCCCAUUCAAUUGUCACCUCAAGUCUGAGAUCUUGCCACACUACCCUGGGUAGAACUGGUCACGCAUACCACUGUGUUCUGUACACACCACCCUGACAAGUAACAGAAAAUUAAAGCUGUGUUUUCUCCCAUAACCAUAUUAUAAGCUUUAUUUAUUCAUUCAUUCACACAUGCAUAUAUUCACAGAUCCAUUCAUUUAACAACAUUUAACAACCACCCACUAUGGGGCAGAGCUGAUGACUUUUUAGUCUUUGCACAACACCCAGUGAAAGUAUAACACAUAAAACUUGCUUAAUACAUGCUUGUGAAGAAAAGGAGAUAGAACUCAAUAAAAAAAAGUCCACUGCCAAAGAUACAUCUGCAUCUUUGUUGUAAGUGCUCAGAGGUGGGAAGUUGUCUUUAUUGAUUAUGAAGCCUCUCCACUGUGUGGAGGGGUUUGGUCAGUUAAUUGUAUUUGGAACUUUUCUUUUAAGGUUUCUGUCAUCCGGCCUGGAAUAGUUUGGUGGCUCCCACCUGUUGUCCAUUCUUAUCCCUUUUCCUAGAACUCAGGGUCCUGUUUUCUGGUGACAUCUUAUGGCAGUACUAAGAGUAGUAGCACCAACUUCUAAACUCCCAUCGGGGCAGGUAACUGACUUACGUGAGUUUGAGGUUUACCAAUAUAGUGCAGUGUGUUUCUUGUUUUUACUGUUAUUUUUAAGUAGGAGAUCUGUUUUUUCCAUUGCUCCCUGAGAAAAUAGGGCUAUCUGAGCUAAAGAGCUUAACCAGCUCGCAGCAUGGGGAUAGUGAAAUAGCUUCCUUGCAGACUCUGAAUCUUUUGUUUGUUUGUUUUUAAUGUCCAG
rnacentral:lncRNA from 10 species